rnacentral:rRNA from 1 species
UGGGGAAUAUUGGACAAUGGGCGCAAGCCUGAUCCAGCCAUGCCGCGUGAGUGAAGAAGGCCUUCGGGCUGUAAAGCACUUUUGUCCGGAAAGAAAUCCUUGGUUCUAAUAUAGCCGGGGGAUGACGGUACCGGAAGAAUAAGCACCGGCUAACUACGUGCCAGCAGCCGCGGUAAUACGUAGGGUGCGAGCGUUAAUCGGAAUUACUGGGCGUAAAGCGUGCGCAGGCGGUUUGCCAAGACCGAUGUGAAAUCCCCGGGCUCAACCUGGGAACUGCAUUGGUGACUGGCAGGCUAGAGUAUGGCAGAGGGGGGUAGAAUUCCACGUGUAGCAGUGAAAUGCGUAGAGAUGUGGAGGAAUACCGAUGGCGAAGGCAGCCCCCUGGGCCAAUACUGACGCUCAUGCACGAAAGCGCGGGGAGCAAACAGGAUUAGAUACCCUGGUAGUCCACGCCCUAAACGAUGUCAACUAGUUGUUGGGGAUUCAUUUCCUUAGUAACGUAGCUAACGCGUGAAGUUGACCGCCUGGGGAGUACGGUCGCAAGAUUA